CAUUAUAGCAAGGAUGUACUUCUGACAGCCGUGCAUAGAGCAACACAUCCUCAACACCGUUCUCUUUGCCGCUGCAAAACAGGAGCCAGUGGUGAGGCGCCAGCCGGCCGGCAUCACCUUCACCUUUCCCACUCCUCCUCAAAUCUGUUAGCAAUGCCUGACCUCCGCCCACCCUCUCCUCUGCAACGGCUCACUCUCUCCUCGAUCUCAACCAAUACAUCAGCCUGAAGCUUAACACCUAAUAAUAAGAUUUCAGAAUAAUCAAUAAUUUUUACAAAGGAACCUGUAGCUGCAGCAAGGGGUUUAUGAGUAAAUUAACAUGUAGUUAAAUGAGCUGAAGCACACAAAAAUAAUAGUUUGAGGUGAGUACAUCUACCUAGUUGCUAAUAGAUCAUUAAAUUCUCAGAUAUGUCAGUACAAUACUCUCAGAUAUGUCAAUACAAUAAUCUUAAUCCCUGUCAACAACAUAUCAGAUGGAUUUACAUCCUCGAACCUGCACCAAUCCAGAAGUUAAAUGAAAAUCUAUAUUGGCCUAUAACACAUGAAUAUUCCAACGUUAGUCCUAUCUGAAGCCAUCUUCAGUUGAACAGAGAACCACAAAGGCAAAAUGUGUGAGAGAGAAAAUGAGUGCGGGAGAGAGAGAUGGUUGGGGGCUCACAUACACUCCUGCAGC
rnacentral:lncRNA from 1 species